AUACAUCGGAACGUGUCCUGUAGUGGGGGAUAGCCCGGCGAAAGCCGGAUUAAUACCGCAUACGCUCUACGGAGGAAAGGGGGGGAUCUUAGGACCUCCCGCUACAGGGGCGGCUGAUGGCAGAUUAGCUAGCUUGGUGGGGUAAAGGCCUACCAAGGCGACGAUCUGUAGCUGGUCUGAGAGGACGACCAGCCACACUGGGACUGAGACACGGCCCAGACUCCUACGGGAGGCAGCAGUGGGGAAUUUUGGACAAUGGGCGAAAGCCUGAUCCAGCAAUGCCGCGUGUGUGAAGAAGGCCUUCGGGUUGUAAAGCACUUUUGUCCGGAAAGAAAACUUCUGCCCUAAUACGGCGGGAGGAUGACGGUACCGGAAGAAUAAGCACCGGCUAACUACGUGCCAGCAGCCGCGGUAAUACGUAGGGUGCAAGCGUUAAUCGGAAUUACUGGGCGUAAAGCGUGCGCAGGCGGUUCGCUAAGACAGAUGUGAAAUCCCCGGGCUUAACCUGGGAACUGCAUUUGUGACUGGCGGGCUAGAGUAUGGCAGAGGGGGGUAGAAUUCCACGUGUAGCAGUGAAAUGCGUAGAGAU
rnacentral:rRNA from 1 species